GGAUUUAUAAUUUAACUAAAAUGUUAGCAUUGGAAGCUAAAAAUCAGAAAUAUGUUCUGUAUUCCGA
rnacentral:tRNA from 1 species